rnacentral:rRNA from 1 species
AGCGAACGCUGGCGGCAGGCCUAACACAUGCAAGUCGAACGAACUCUUCGGAGUUAGUGGCGGACGGGUGAGUAACACGUGGGAACGUGCCUUUAGGUUCGGAAUAACUCAGGGAAACUUGUGCUAAUACCGAAUGUGCCCUUCGGGGAAAAGAUUUAUCGCCUUUAGAGCGGCCCGCGUCUGAUUAGCUAGUUGGUGAGGUAAAGGCUCACCAAGGCGACGAUCAGUAGCUGGUCUGAGAGGAUGAUCAGCCACAUUGGGACUGAGACACGGCCCAAACUCCUACGGGAGGCAGCAGUGGGGAAUCUUGCGCAAUGGGCGAAAGCCUGACGCAGCCAUGCCGCGUGAAUGAUGAAGGUCUUAGGAUUGUAAAAUUCUUUCACCGGGGACGAUAAUGACGGUACCCGGAGAAGAAGCCCCGGCUAACUUCGU